CGUCAAAUCAGCCACGGCCCUUACGUCCAGGGCUACACACGUGCUACAAUGGCCGGUACAAAGGGCAGCUACCUGGUGACAGGAUGCUAAUCUCAAAAGCCGGUCUCAGUUCGGAUCGGAGUCUGCAACCCGACUCCGUGAAGUUGGAUUCGCUAGUAAUCGCGCAUCAGAAUGUCGCGGUGAAUGCGUUCCCGGGUCUU
rnacentral:rRNA from 1 species